rnacentral:rRNA from 1 species
UACGAGGGGAGCAAGCGUUGUUCGGAUUUACUGGGCGUAAAGGGCGCGUAGGCGGCGUGACAAGUCACUUGUGAAAUCUCCGGGCUUAACUCGGAACGGUCAAGUGAAACUGUCGUGCUAGAGUACAGAAGGGGCAACUGGAAUUCUCGGUGUAGCGGUGAAAUGCGUAGAUAUCGAGAGGAACACCUGCGGCGAAGGCGGGUUGCUGGGCUGACACUGACGCUGAGGUGCGAAAGCGUGGGGAGCAAACAGG